rnacentral:rRNA from 1 species
AUUGAACGCUGGCGGUAUGCUUAAGACAUGCAAGUCGAACGGAAUCUUCGGAUUCAGUGGCGGACGGGUGAGUAACACGUGGGAAUCUACUGAGUAGUGGGGGACAGCCCGGCGAAAGCCGGAUUAAUACCGCAUACGCCCUACGGGGGAAAGGCGCAAGCCGCUAUUUAAUGAGCCCGCGUAAGAUUAGCUAGUUGGUGAGGUAAAGGCCCACCAAGGCAACGAUCUUUAGCUGGUCUGAGAGGAUGGCCAGCCACAUCGGGACUGAGACACGGCCCGGACUCCUACGGGAGCAGCAGUCGGGAAUAUUGGACAAUGGGCNCAAGCCUGAUCC